GAUGAACGCUAGCUACAGGCUUAACACAUGCAAGUCGCAGGACUGGCGCACGGGUGAGUAACGCGUAUCCACCCUUCCCAUGACCACGGGAUAACCCGUUGAAAGACGGACUCCUACCUUAUGGUUAUGGCUGGGGAUGCGUCUGAUUAGCUUGUUGGCGGGGUAACGGCCAACCAAGGCGACGAUCAGUAGGGGUUCUGAGAGGAAGGGCCCCCACAUUGGAACUGAGACACGGUCCAAACGCCUACGGGAGGCAGCAGUGAGGAAUAUUGGGCAAUGGGCGAGAGCCUGAACCAGCCAAGUAGCGUGCAGGACGACGGCCUAUGGGUUGUAAACUGCUUUUAUGCGGGGAUAGGUACCGCAUGAAUAAGGACCGGCUAAUUCCGUGCCAGCAGCCGCGGUAAUAC
rnacentral:rRNA from 1 species